UACGAAGGGUGCUAGCGUUGUUCGGAAUCACUGGGCGUAAAGCGUGCGCAGGCUGCUUUUUAAGUCAGGGGUGAAAUGCCUGGGCUCAACCCAGGAACUGCCUUUGAAACUGAAAAGCUUGAGACUCGGAGGGGGUGGCGGAAUUCCUAAUGUAGCGGUGAAAUGCGUAGAUAUUAGGAGGAACACCAGUGGCGAAGGCGGCCACCUGGACGAGUACUGACGCUCAUGCACGAAAGCGUGGGGAUCAAACAGG
rnacentral:rRNA from 1 species